rnacentral:rRNA from 1 species
GCAACGCCGCGUGAGGGAUGAAGGCCUCUGGGCUGUAAACCUCUUUUAUCAAGGAAGAAGAUCUGACGGUACUUGAUGAAUAAGCCACGGCUAAUUCCGUGCCAGCAGCCGCGGUAAUACGGGAGUGGCAAGCGUUAUCCGGAAUUAUUGGGCGUAAAGCGUCCGCAGGCGGCCCUUCAAGUCUGCUGUUAAAAAGUGGAGCUUAACUCCAUCAUGGCAGUGGAAACUGAGGGGCUUGAGUGUGGUAGGGGCAGAGGGAAUUCCCGGUGUAGCGGUGAAAUGCGUAGAUAUCGGGAAGAACACCAGUGGCGAAGGCGCUCUGCUGGGCCAUCACUGACGCUCAUGGACGAAAGCCAGGGGAGCGAAAGGGAUUAGAUACCCCUGUAGUCCUGGCCGUAAACGAUGAACACUAGGUGUCGGGGGAAUCGACCCCCUCGGUGUCGUAGCCAACGCGUUAAGUGUUCCGCCUGGGGAGUACGCCACGCAAGUGUGAAACUCAAAGGAAUUGACGGGGGCCCGCACAAGCGGUGGAGUAUGUGGUUUAAUUCGAUGCAACGCGAAGAACCUUACCAGGGUU